AUACGUAGGUGGCAAGCGUUGUCCGGAUUUAUUGGGCGUAAAGCGAGCGCAGGCGGUUUUUUAAGUUCUGAUGUGAAAGACCUUCGGCUCAACCGAAGAAGUGCAUCGGAAACUGGGAAACUUGAGUGCAGAAGAGGACAGUGGAACUCCAUGUGUAGCGGUGAAAUAGCGUAGAUAUAUGGAAGAACACCAGUGGCGAAGGCGGCUGUCUGGUCUGUAACUGACGCUGAGGCUCGAAAGUAUGGGUAGC
rnacentral:rRNA from 1 species